UGGGGAAUAUUGCGCAAUGGGGGAAACCCUGACCCAGCAACGCCGCGUGAAGGAUGAAGUAUUUCGGUAUGUAAACUUCGAAAGAAUAGGAAGAAUAAAUGACGGUACUAUUUAUAAGGUCCGGCUAACUACGUGCCAGCAGCCGCGGUAAUACGUAGGGACCAAGCGUUGUUCGGAUUUACUGGGCGUAAAGGGCGCGUAGGCGGCAUGACAAGUCACUUGUGAAAUCUCUGGGCUUAACCCAGAACGGCCAAGUGAUACUGUCGCGCUAGAGUGCAGAAGGGGCAAUCGGAAUUCUUGGUGUAGCGGUGAAAUGCGUAGAUAUCAAGAGGAACACCUGAGGUGAAGACGGGUUGCUGGGCUGACACUGACGCUGAGGCGCGAAAGCCAGGGGAGCAAACGGGAUUAGAUACCCAUGUAGUCCCUGAGCGGGCUGGCAAGGCGCAU
rnacentral:rRNA from 1 species